GAGAAAUGAGGAUACAUGCUUUGUCUUACUGCUGUAGUGAAGACUUCAGAUCCAACUCUGAUCUCACACUGUAC
rnacentral:snoRNA from 1 species